rnacentral:rRNA from 1 species
UUGACGGGACCCCCGCACAAGCGGUGGAUCAUGUUGUUUAAUUCGAUGAUACGCGAAGAACCUUACCAGGUCUUGACAUCCCCCGCGAUGCUUUAGAGAUAAAGCGGAGGUAUUCGGGGAGACAGGUGGUGCAUGGUUGUCGUCAGCUCGUGUCGUGAGAUGUUGGGUUAAGUCCCGCAACGAGCGCAACCCCUAUUGCUAGUUACCAUCAUUAAGUUGGGGACUCUAGCGAGACUGCCAGUGAUAAACUGGAGGAAGGUGGGGAUGACGUCAAAUCAUCAUGCCCCUUAUGACCUGGGCUACAAACGUGAUACAAUGGCUGGAACAAAGGGAUGCGAAGCAGUGAUGUGGAGCGAAACCCAUAAAAACAGUCUCAGUUCGGAUUGAAGUCUGCAACUCGACUUCAUGAAGUCGGAAUCGCUAGUAAUCGCGGAUCAGAACGCCGCGGUGAAUACGUUCUCGGGGUUU